rnacentral:rRNA from 1 species
AGAGUUUGAUCCUGGCUUAGAACGAACGCUGGCGGCAUGGAUUAGGCAUGCAAGUCGAACGGGAGCAGCAAUGCUCCAGUGGCGCAAGGGUGAGGAACACGUGAACAACCUGCCUUCGAGUUGGGGAUAGCUUCUGGAAACGGGAGAUAAUACCGAAUAACAUCACCGGAUCGCAUGAUUUGGUGAUCAAAGCAGCAAUGCGCUUGAAGAGGGGUUCGCGUCCCAUUAGCUAGUUGGUGAGGUAACGGCCCACCAAGGCGAUGAUGGGUAGCUGGUCUGAGAGGACGAUCAGCCACAUUGGGACUGAGAUACUGCCCAGACUCCUACGGGAGGCUGCAGUCGAGAAUUUUGGGCAAUGGACGAAAGUCUGAACCCCCAGCAAUGCCGCGUGCGGGAUGAAGGUCUUCGGAUUGUAAACCGCUGUCAAGAGGGACGAAACAUGACGGUACCUCUGGAGGAAGCCACGGCUAACUACGUGCCAGCAGCCGC